rnacentral:rRNA from 1 species
ACGCUCGACACCUACGGGAGGCAGCAGUGGGGAAUAUUGCACAAUGGGGGAAACCCUGAUGCAGCGACGCCGCGUGAGUGAAGAAGUAUUUCGGUAUGUAAAGCUCUAUCAGCAGGGAAGAAAAUGACGGUACCUGACUAAGAAGCCCCGGCUAACUACGUGACAGCAGCCGCGGUAAUCUGAGCGGGCUGGCAAGGC